CCCGUGGCGCCGUGGGAAAGCGCGCUGGUUUCUGCCAAAUGCAGUUAGCUUUGCUUCGCUUCCCUAAGUGCGUUCCCCCAGGGGCCCGGCAGUGUGCUAGGGGCACCCUGCUUCGUAAGUGAGGCAGACAGCCCGUGAUAAAUGCCAAAGUAGAAGCCCCUCCGAAAAAUUAAGGAGCCGAUUGGGCGGGACUAACCCUAAGGGAGGGCAGGGGAAGCGACCGUCACCUCCGGGCGCCGGGGACUCGGAACGCCGGGUCGGAGCUCGGCAGGCGGAGAAAUGUAAGCUCCAUGAGGUCAUGGAUUGUGUAUUUUGUUCACUGCUGUAUUCCCUGAGCCUGGAACAGUGCCUGACACAUAGUAGAUGCGCAGUAAAUAUUUGGUGAAUGAAUGAACAAACGCUAAUACAUCAAAGAGACAACAUCAAAGAACAGACUCCACAGGGCAGUUUACAUCUUCAUUGUUUGGCCCGACCCUUCUUGUUUGAGGGUGGAUUUUCAAAAUUACUGCUGAAGGCAAUUGGGAGCCUUGAAAGCUUUUAAAGGGAUCUAGUUUGAGUCAUUAAAAAGGAGAAGUCAUCAGUUUGAAAAGAGCUACAAUCAGAGCAAAAUGAAUUCUGCUAAAAUUGAAGGAACAACAAACGUCAAAUUUAGGGUGAGGUUAGGGUGGAAGAAUGGUAAAAUCACUGAUGCUUUACCAAAAGUUUAUGGGGACAAUGCACCUAAAUAAAUCAGCAGUUUAUAAAAAUAGUUAAUUUGUAAGAAAGGACAAGACGAUGCUGAAGAUGAAGCCUGCAGCAGCAGGUCAUCCACAUCAAUUUGUGAGAAAAAAAAUUUAUCUUCUUUGUGCCCUAAUUUGGAAGGACCAACGAUUAACAGCAGAAACAACAGUCAACACCAUAGACAUCACAAUUGGUUCAGCUUACAGAAUUCUGACUGAAAAAUCAAAAGUUGAGCAAACUUUCCACUUGAUGGGUGCCAAAACCAGAUCAGCUGCAAAGAACAGAGCUUUCAAUGGAAAUUUUAAACAAGUAGGCUCUAUUGGUUGCUACAAAAUUAAUUGCAGUUUUUGCCAUUGAAAGACAUGUCAAAAACCGCAAUUACUUUUGCCCCAACCAAUAGAUCAUGAAGCAUCUAUUGGGAAAGUGUAACAGGAGGUGAAAUGUGGCUUUCCAACUAUGGAGACAAAGUACAAUCGAAGUAAUGGCUCCGAAGAUGUGGAAGUGGUCCAGUCAAAGCAAAAGUGGUCUGGUCAAGAGCAAAGGUCAUGGAAAUAGUUUUUUGAGCUGCUUGAGAAAUUUUGCUUGUUGACUUUCUGGAGGGCCAAAGAAAAAUAACAUCUGCUUAUUAUGAGAGUGUUUUGAGAAAGCCAAAGCUUUAGCAGAAAAAUGCCCAGGAAAACUUCACCAGAGAGUCCUUUUCUAUCACAGCAAAGGUUCUGCUCACGCCUCUCAUCAAACGGGAAAUUUUGAGAGAGUUUCAAUGGGAAACCAGUAGGCAUUCACCCUACAGUUGGUAUUUAGCUCCUUCCAACUUCUUUUGGUUUCCUAAUGAUAAAAAAUCUGUAAAGGGUACCAUUUUUUUUCCAGUUAAUAAUGUAAAAAAGAUUGCAUUGAUGUAAAUUCCCAGGAACUCCAAUUCUUUGGGGAUGGAUAAAAUGGCUAGUAUCUAAGUGCUGUGAGCAAGAGACAAAAAUAAAUAAAUAAAUGGCUAAUAUCAUUGCCUACAAAAGUGUCAAAGUUUCUUGACCUUGGUGGAUCUUAUAAGUUUAUAUUUUUUAUCUUUUACGUCUAUUUUCCACAAACUUUUUUUUUUUUUUGAGACAGAGUCUGGCUCU
rnacentral:lncRNA from 10 species